UCGCCCCCCUCCGCCCAGGCCGGCUCAUCUCCUCAGCUCUCGCGGGCCACCGAGGCUGUAGCAGCCGAGCCGGAGGGAGGAGUGAAGAAUGUUCUGGAAUUCCUGAAGUUGUAACGCUGCAUCGCACAAAGCCGCUGGCAAAGAGCAUCUUGCACACAUAAAUGCUGGAACUACAACAUAAAGGAACCGUGAAGAAGCAUCACUCGAAUUCAGAGCUCUUGAGAAAGGUGGCUGCACACACCGUAAAGCUCAAAUUCUGGCUCUACCACAGACUGGAUCCAUUAGAAGCCAGGAAACGGGGCUGGCGAGAUGGUGCAAGAGUUCGGGACUGUGCCUCCCGUGUGUCCUCCCCGGGGUCAGUCCUCAACACUGAGGCCCUGGAGGGCAUAAAGGCUCGCAGCCACUGCCAAGUGGCCCAGGGAAUUCCUGACACCACCGCACCCUUCUGACUGCCAGUCCAGACGGCCAAUGGUCAGCAAGUAGGAUCUCUGGUAGUAGUUUCUUUAUUUGUCAAGGAGGAAAUGGGCACUGAGAAGUAAGAAGCAAUUGUCCCCAAGGAAGAAGCCCUGCUACCAAACUGGUACAAGUAUGGGUCCUGUGCUUCACGCGGCCAUCUUCCAGACUAGGCUCUGCAUCUGUUCAUUCGGCUGUGUCCCCUUCUAAGCCCCACAAAGAGUUCUCCCUGCUGAACAGAACGAGACCUCCACAUCGACUUCCACACUCCGCCCCUCCACCAGUUUAUUAAGUUUGGUGCAUCUCUGGAAUCAAAGUCUUUAGGCGCAGAGGGUCGAUUCGCGCUCAGCGGCUCCGGAUUUAACUGGGCCGGGCCGCGGGCGUGCCGGUUACGCCCCCUUCCCAUGAGUUCCUGGGAGCCCCAAAAGUAAAAACCAAAUACCUGUGGGUUUGGAGUCACAGAAGAUGGCGCCUGCCACGUGGGUGCCGCCAGGCCGCCGCUUUCCGUGCAGGAAGGCAGGGUGGGGAGGAAAAAAAUCCACCCCCAGCAGCACAGAGUUGUAGCCCAGUUCGGUGUCCCAGUGCAUUGCUAUCGGAUGCUGCGCUGGAUGCCCGAAUGUGUUACAUCUCUGGAAUCAAAGUCUUUAGGCGCAGAGGGUCCGAUUCGCGCUCAGCGGCUCUGGAUUUAUCUGGGCCGAGGGCGUGCUGGUUACGCCCCCUUCUCAUGAGUUCUUGGGAGCCCCAAAGGUUUUUAAUGUAGCAGCCACCUCUGGACUGUGAACUAAGCAAAAGCCCCACGCUGGCCGACGCGUCGUGGCGUACACCAUACUAUGAGGCACAGGAAGGGGGAUGAGGGGGAAAAAGAAAAAAAAAAGGAAAAAGGAAAAAGGAAAAAAGAGAGAGAGAGAGUUAGGUACUUGUAGCAGUGGGGUUACAUAUCUCUUCAUUUCCAGCAAUG